UUGAUGACCUCUCCAGCAACAUGGAGAAUGUUGCUAAAGCAAAGGGAAAUCUUGAAAAGAUGUGCCGUACUCUAGAGGACCAACUUAGCGAAC